GUACAAAUGAAUGGCCGUAUGCUUAUUACACAGCUUCAGCAAAUAGCAACUCAUGAAUUAUCUGUGUGAAAAUAAACACAGAGCACCCAAACGGGAACAAGCAAAGGCCAUUUAUUCUGACCUUGCUAUAUAUAGCAAGGGAGUCAGCCACCGUCACUUGUGUUUAUCAGAGACUCAAAGGCAGGCGAAGGAGUGGGAAAACUUUACAGAGGAAGAAAGAGAAGGCUUCAGCCCGUGAGGACCCCUCAGCAGGGGCUCCUGAAGAAGACCUCUGCCCAAGGCCUCAGAUAGAGACCUGUGGCUGUCAACACUGAGAAGAGCUUGACGGUCAGCGGAGCUGAGUCCUUGACGGCAGCUGCCUUUGGGGACCGCAGUGCGCGGCUGGGCGUUCUCUGAGUGGAGUCUUAUCAGUCGGCUGCUUUUUUGGUGGACUGUAUUCUCCUGUUCGCAAGAGAAUUUUUGAAGCAAUUAUCCAUCGUCUUCUGGCCUCUAACAUUGCUGGAGAACUGAGAUGCCGUUCUGAUUCCCAUUCCUUUUCUUUUUCUUUUUCUUUUCUUUUUGAGGAAGGUUAGCUCUGAGCUAACUACUGCCAAUCCUCCUCUUUUUGCUGAGGAAGACUGGCCCUGAGCUAACAUCCAUGCCUGUCUUCCUCCACUUUUUAUACGUGGGACGCCUACCACAGCAUGGCUUUUGCAAGCAGUGCCAUGUCCGCACCUGGGAUCCGGACCGGAGAACCCAGGGCCGCCGAGAAGCAAACGUGCGAACUUAACUGCUGUGCCACCGGGCCGGGCCCCAUUCCUUUUGUUUUAAGCCUUUAUUUUUUAGAGCAGAUUCAUGGCAAAAUUGAGCUGUGAGUUUCCAUAGAGCAUCAUCUUCCCGCACACGACACAACACGGCCUCCCCCAUGCUGCGCCAGAGUGGAACAUCUGUUAGCAAUUAGUGAACCUACAGCGACACGUCACUGUCACCCAAUGUCCAUGGUUUACAUUAUGGUUCACUCUUAGUACUGUCCAUUCUCUGGCUUUU
rnacentral:lncRNA from 1 species